GUCCUAGCUUUUUUUUUUGUUUGUUUUUGAGGAAAGUACGCGUCCUAGCUUAGAUAGUGAAGUGUUGGAGGUAGAUGGAUCUAUUUACUAUCUCACGCACCAGCUGACGUGAUAAUAUGCCACGACGAAUUCAACUAGCUAGAAAGUGCGUCUUCUCCGACCCUAGAGAAGAACUACAAAGUGCACGAGUUUAUCUCAAUUGUAUACUACCGGCAUAUGGGAUAAUCUGAUACGUACAUAUAUUAAAGCCUUUUUCUUGCAUGUGACCCGUCCAUUACAGAAUUGAGAUUGCUAGAGUCCAGAUUCCAGAAUAGCAUUUCCGCAG
rnacentral:lncRNA from 1 species